UAUUGGGCAAUGGAGGAAACUCUGACCCAGCGACGCCGCGUGCGGGAUGAAGGCCUUCGGGUUGUAAACCGCUUUCAGCAGGGAAGAAGCGAAAGUGACGGUACCUGCAGAAGAAGCACCGGCUAACUAUGUGCCAGCAGCCGCGGUAAUACAUAGGGUGCAAGCGUUGUCAGGAAUUAUUGGGCGUAAAGAGCUCGUAGGUGGUUCGUCACGUCGGAUGUGAAACUCUGGGGCUUAACCCCAGACCUGCAUUCGAUACGGGCGAGCUUGAGUAUGGUAGGGGAGUCUGGAAUUCCUGGUGUAGCGGUGGAAUGCGCAGAUAUCAGGAGGAACACCAAUGGCGAAGGCAGGACUCUGGGCAAUUACUGACACUGAGAGCGAAA
rnacentral:rRNA from 1 species